UUGAAAAAAAAAAAAAAACAGAUUCGACAGAAUUAAAGAGAAUUGAAGGCAGCUUUUGGAGCAGUUUCACGAGGGCAAGUCGGCAGCCCUGCCGCUAGAGUUAUUAAGACAGUAAAUACACAAAAGAUGACUCGGUGGCUGGUUUUGAAGCAAGAAACUAAACAUAUCAAAUCACUGCAGAUAUUUGGUUCAUCUCUUUAGCUACAGAUGUCUGCAGAUGUGGUCCGCAGACUGCGGACGUUUACCUCUAAAAAAACAAACAGCACCUUAAUGAUGGGCAUCAUAUUAUUCACACAAGGAUGAGCUCAAGUGGAAGCAUGUUGCAAACCUCCAGGCAAAGCUAACUUAGUUCAAGACACAUCAUGACGCGAUCUGUAACACCCCGUAUUACCAAAAGUCAAAGUCAAAGUCAAAGGUUGACUUCUUUGACUGUAAUUAGUCUAUUUUAAUUUUUGUAUUAUGUUGAGUAAGUGUUGUCUAAUUAAAGAUCGAAUGUUUAAUCAAUGCGAACCGUUUAACGACCUUGAAUAGCAGGAAGUAACAAUGCGAUAAAGUUAAUCAAUCGAUAAUCAAGCUAAUCAAACUCGAAACUCGAAUUAUGCGAACUUUGGUGU
rnacentral:lncRNA from 1 species